CUCGAACAAUUUCUCCUGGGGGCAUGGGUUCUCUCCGCGUCCCUCACGCUUGACAGCGCGGGCGCCUAAGCGUCGGGCUUUCUGGGCGGACACGACCCCGGCGCGAAUGCGCCAAGGAACUUGAACAAGAGAGCGAUGCUCCCAUCACCCCAGACAUGGUGCGUGCGUGGGAUGCCAUGCAUCUCCUAUUACUCA
rnacentral:misc_RNA from 1 species